GAUGAACGCUAGCUACAGGCUUAACACAUGCAAGUCGAGGGGAAACGACAUCGAAAGCUUGCUUUGAUGGGCGUCGACCGGCGCACGGGUGAGUAACGCGUAUCCAACCUGCCCACACUUGGGGAUAACCUUGCGAAAGUAAGACUAAUACCCAAUGACGUCUCUAGAAGACAUCUGAAAGAGAUUAAAGAUUUAUCGGUGAUGGAUGGGGAUGCGUCUGAUUAGCUUGUUGGCGGGGUAACGGCCCACCAAGGCGACGAUCAGUAGGGGUUCUGAGAGGAAGGUCCCCCACAUUGGAACUGAGACACGGUCCAAACUCCUACGGGAGGCAGCAGUGAGGAAUAUUGGUCAAUGGGCGAGAGCCUGAACCAGCCAAGUAGCGUGCAGGAUGACGGCCCUAUGGGUUGUAAACUGCUUUUAUAAGGGAAUAAAGUUAGUCUCGUGAGACUUUUUGCAUGUACCUUAUGAAUAAGGACCGGCUAAUUCCGUG
rnacentral:rRNA from 1 species